rnacentral:rRNA from 1 species
AGCUCCAAUAGCGUAUAUUAAAGUUGUUGCAGUUAGAACGCUCGUAGUCGGAUUUCGGGGCGGGUCGACCGGUCUGCCGAUGGGUACGCACUGGUCGACGCGUCCUUCCUUCCGGAGACCGUCUCACUCUUAACUGAGCGGAGGCGGGAGACGGAACGUUUACUUUGAAAAAAUCAGAGUGUUUCAAGCAGGCAGCUCGCUCUUGCAUGGAUUAGCAUGGGAUAAUGAAAUAGGACUUUGGUGCUAUUUUGUUGGUUUCGAACACCGAAGUAAUGAUGAGAAGGGACAGUCAGGGGCACUCGUAUUCCGCCGAGAGAGGUGAAAUUCUUAGACCAGCGGAAGACGAACCACUGCGAAAGCAUUUGCCAGGGAUGUUUUCACUG